rnacentral:misc_RNA from 1 species
GGCUUUUUCACGUUUUAAAUGUUUAUUCUUCUUUUGGGAGGCUUGGGAGAAUGGAAUCAUGCUUGUAUCAACAAAUCUCUCACCUUCAAGUUUAAAGGAAAAAGAGGUAAUUCACUUUUUCUUUUGAUAUUUUAGAAGAGUCCAAGUAUGUUUAUGCAUGAUUAGGUUGUUUAGGUUUGGAUUUCUUGGAUAGUUGAGAAUCCAAGUAUGUUUAUGUAUGAUUAGGUUGUUGGGGGAAACUUUUGCAUGUUACGGUUCUGAAGAAACCUUGUUGCAAAUAUAUAUUUUGUUUGAUUUUGUCAAGUUUAGAUAUUAUAAGCCUUAAAUGGUUGGUUUCCCUUUGGUGAACUUGAGGAAUUCUUGUUGAUGUAUGUUUAAGGCUGAGAUAAACCUUGAAUUCAUCUUCUUA